rnacentral:rRNA from 1 species
ACUUUCAAACUAUGAUCUGAAGU